rnacentral:misc_RNA from 1 species
GUAAAAUUAACACUGCAUAAUCAAGUUUCCUACUCAGUAGCUAAGACAAAAGAAUCGAAUCAGUGCAGGCUGCAAAAUGCAAACUUUUUUUCAGUUCUGCAAACAUCAAAAUAUCACUAGCAAAGAGAAAAGCAUGUAAAUUAAGAAACAAGCGUACGCAAUAAGCCCUCGAUGUUCAUCUCCAUACGAAGCCAGCUCAACCAGAAGCCUUGUGCAAACCCGUGUUGACCAUACAACAAAAACUCCGGUUAGCACCUUGAUCACCAAACCACCAGGCAAAAACAGUGAUAGCGCGGAUAAUAUCACGAUGGGCAACAUACAAUAACCGAUCAAGCUAACACAUCUGUACAAAUUCAAGUUCCCAUUUCGACCAGCGAGCAUAUUAAACACUACAUAUAGAAACAUCGAAGCCAUUACAACCCAUCCCAGUAUUAUCCCAAAAUGGAUCUUUCCAGCUAGCAAUUGAAACAAUCCAAACGCCAUUAGAAAUAUAAAUGGUCCAGAAAGGUCACCAUCUUCGUGAAGAUCUGGUUUGAUUCGAAAUGGGUUGAGUAUUGAAAGAGUCUUCUGGUAAAUUUGCUUUGUA